rnacentral:rRNA from 1 species
CCUACGGGCGGCAGCAGUGGGGAAUAUUGCACAAUGGGGGAAACCCUGAUGCAGCGACGCCGCGUGAGCGAUGAAGUAUUUCGGUAUGUAAAGCUCUAUCAGCAGGGAAGAAAAUGACGGUACCUGACUAAGAAGCCCCGGCUAACUACGUGCCAGCAGCCGCGGUAAUACGUAGGGGGCACGCGUUAUCCGGAUUUACUGGGUGUAAAGGGAGCGUAUACGGCUGUGCAAGUCAGCUGUGACAGCCCGGGGCUCAACCCCGGGACUGCAUUUGGAACUGUGUGGCUGGAGUGUCGGAGAGGCAGGCGGAAUUCCUGGUGUAGCGGUGAAAUGCGUAGAUAUUAGGAGGAACACCAGUGGCGAAGGCGGCCUGCUGGACGAUGACUGACGUUGAGGCUCGAAAGCGUGGGGAGCAAACAGGAUUAGAUACCCUAGUAGUC